rnacentral:rRNA from 1 species
AGAGUUUGAUCCUGGCUCAGGAUGAACGCUGGCGGCAUGCCUAAUACAUGCAAGUCGAACGAGAGGAAGGAAAGCUUGCUUUUCUGAAUCUAGUGGCGAACGGGUGAGUAACACGUAGGUAACCUGCCCAUGUGCCCGGGAUAACUUCUGGAAACGGAUGCUAAAACCGGAUAGGUAGCAGACAAGCAUUUGACUGCUAUUAAAGUGGCUAAGGCCAUGAACAUGGAUGGACCUGCGGUGCAUUAGCUAGUUGGUGAGGUAACGGCCCACCAAGGCGACGAUGCAUAGCCGGCCUGAGAGGGCGGACGGCCACAUUGGGACUGAGACACGGCCCAAACUCCUACGGGAGGCAGCAGUAGGGAAUUUUCGUCAAUGGGGGGAACCCUGAACGAGCAAUGCCGCGUGAGUGAGGAAGGUCUUCGGAUCGUAAAGCUCUGUUGUAAGAGAAAAACGACAUUCAUAGGGAAUGAUGAGUGAGUGAUGGUAUCUUACCAGAAAGUCACGGCUAACUACGUGCCAGCAGCCGCGGUAAUACGUAGGUGGCGAGCGUUAUCCGGAAUGAUUGGGCGUAAAGGGUGCGUAGGUGGCAGAACAAGUCUGGAGUAAAAGGUAUGGGCUCAACCCGUACUGGCUCUGGAAACUGUUCAGCUAGAGAACAGAAGAGGACGGCGGAACUCCAUGUGUAGCGGUAAAAUGCGUAGAUAUAUGGAAGAACAUCGGUGGCGAAGGCGGCCGUCUGGUCUGUUGCUGACACUGAAGCACGAAAGCGUGGGGAGCAAAUAGGAUUAGAUACCCU